rnacentral:rRNA from 1 species
UACGGAGGAUGCGAGCGUUAUCCGGAUUUAUUGGGUUUAAAGGGUGCGCAGGCGGGCUGUUAAGCCGGCGGUAAAAAUUCAGGGCUCAACCCUGUCGAGCCGUCGGAACUGGCAGUCUUGAGUGGGCGAGAAGUACGCGGAAUGCGCGGUGUAGCGGUGAAAUGCGUAGAUAUACGGAGGAACACCAGUGGCGAAGGCGGAUUGCUGGACAGUAACUGACGCUGAGGCGCGAAAGCGUGGGGAGCAAACAGG